rnacentral:rRNA from 1 species
UAGGGAAUUUUCGUCAAUGGGCGCAAGCCUGAACGAGCGAUGCCGCGUGAGUGAAGAAGGCCUUGGGUCGUAAAGCUCUGUUGCGGGGGAAAAAAGGCAGCAUCAGGAAAUGGGUGCUGACUGAUGGUGCCCCGCCAGAAAGUCACGGCUAACUACGUGCCAGCAGCCGGCGGUAAUCACGAGCU